rnacentral:rRNA from 1 species
UACGGAGGGUGCGAGCGUUGUCCGGAAUCACUGGGCGUAAAGGGCGCGUAGGCGGCUCGUGAAGUCAGUGGUGAAAGCCCAGGCUCAACUCUGGGUCGGCCACUCGAUACUCGCGAGCUCGAGUUUGGUAGAGGCAGAUGGAAUUCCGGGUGUAGCGGUGGAAUGCGUAGAGAUCCGGAAGAACACCGGUGGCGAAGGCGGUCUGC